rnacentral:rRNA from 1 species
GACGAACGCUGGCGGCGUGCUUAACACAUGCAAGUCGAACGGAAAGGCCCUGCUUUUGUGGGGUGCUCGAGUGGCGAACGGGUGAGUAACACGUGAGUAACCUGCCCUUGACUUUGGGAUAACUUCAGGAAACUGGGGCUAAUACCGGAUCGGAGCUCCUGCUGCAUGGUGGGGGUUGGAAAGUUUCGGCGGUUGGGGAUGGACUCGCGGCUUAUCAGCUUGUUGGUGGGGUAGAGGCUUACCAAGGCUUUGACGGGUAGCCGGCCUGAGAGGGUGACCGGCCACAUUGGGACUGAGAUACGGCGCAGACGCCUACGGGAGGCAGCAGUGGGGAAUAUGGCACAAUGGGCGGAAGCCUGAGGCAGCAACGCCGCGUGCGGGAUGAAGGCCUUCGGGUUGUAAACCGCUUUCGCCUGUGACGAAGCGUGAGUGACGGUAAUGGGUAAAGAAGCACCGGCUAACUACGUG